GUGCNUAACCACAAUCCAAGUCGAACGCGAAAGGUACNUUCGGGUACUGAGUAAAGNGGCGCACGGGUGAGUAACACGUGGAUAAUCUGCCUGAUAAUCUGGGAUAACAUCUCGAAAGAGAUGCUAAUACCAGAUAAGCCCNCAGUCUNUUNGGAGGCAGCGGGAAAANAUGGCCUCUUCUUGAAAGCUAUUGUUAUCAGAUGAGUCCGCGGUCCAUUAGCUAGUUGGUGGGGUAACGGCCUACCAAGGCGACGAUGGAUAGCUGGUUUGAGAGAAUGAUCAGCCACNCUGGAACUGAGACACGGUCCAGACUCCUACGGGAGGCAGCAGUGGGGAAUUUUGCGCAAUGGGCGAAAGCCUGACGCAGCAACGCCGCGUGAGUGAUGAAGGUUUUCGGAUCGUAAAGCUCUGUCAAGAGGGAAGAAACCUCCAACGGCCAAUACCCGUUGGGAUUGACGGUACCUCUAGAGGAAGCACCGGCUAACUCCGUGCCAGCAGCCGCGGUAAUAC
rnacentral:rRNA from 1 species